rnacentral:misc_RNA from 1 species
UACCUCACAGAAACGUCACAGCUGGUGCUAUAUGACCCUACAACAAGUCAAGUUACGGAUCUUGGAAUUCAGCCGAGGCUUAUGGGCUGUGGUGUUUUCAUUUAUCAGGAGAGCCUAGCUCUAAUUACGAAAGGGAAUUAGUCUCAAGACUAGGAUAAUACUGAUCGAUCAAAUGAAGUAGUACAACUAUUUGGUGGACGAGUGCUACUAUAUUCGCUGGAUGAACCUAUUAUUAUUGGG